UACAGAGGGUGCGAGCGUUAAUCGGAAUUACUGGGCGUAAAGCGUGCGUAGGUGGUUUAGUAAGUCAGAUGUGAAAUCCCCGGGCUCAACCUGGGAACUGCAUUUGAAACUAUUAAGCUAGAGUGUGGUAGAGGGAAGUGGAAUUUCCGGUGUAGCGGUGAAAUGCGUAGAUAUCGGAAGGAACAUCAGUGGCGAAGGCGACUUCCUGGACCAUAACUGACACUGAGGCACGAAAGCGUGGGGAGCAAACAGG
rnacentral:rRNA from 1 species